rnacentral:rRNA from 1 species
GGGUUGUGAGGUUAAGCGACUAAGCGUACACGGUGGAUGCCCUGGCAGUCAGAGGCGAUGAAGGACGUGCUAAUCUGCGAUAAGCGUCGGUAAGGUGAUAUGAACCGUUAUAACCGGCGAUUUCCGAAUGGGGAAACCCAGUGUGUUUCGACACACUAUCAUUAACUGAAUCCAUAGGUUAAUGAGGCGAACCGGGGGAACUGAAACAUCUAAGUACCCCGAGGAAAAGAAAUCAACCGAGAUUCCCCCAGUAGCGGCGAGCGAACGGGGAGCAGCCCAGAGCCUGAAUCAGUGUGUGUGUUAGUGGAAGCGUCUGGAAAGGCGCGCGAUACAGGGUGACAGCCCCGUACACAAAAAUGCACAUGCUGUGAGCUCGAUGAGUAGGGCGGGACACGUGGUAUCCUGUCUGAAUAUGGGGGGACCAUCCUCCAAGGCUAAAUACUCCUGACUGACCGAUAGUGAACCAGUACCGUGAGGGAAAGGCGAAAAGAACCCCGGCGAGGGGAGUGAAAAAGAACCUGAAACCGUGUACGUACAAGCAGUGGGAGCACGCUUAGGCGUGUGACUGCGUACCUUUUGUAUAAUGGGUCAGCGACUUAUAUUCUGUAGCAAGGUUAACCGAAUAGGGGAGCCGAAGGGAAACCGAGUCUUAACUGGGCGUUAAGUUGCAGGGUAUAGACCCGAAACCCGGUGAUCUAGCCAUGGGCAGGUUGAAGGUUGGGUAACACUAACUGGAGGACCGAACCGACUAAUGUUGAAAAAUUAGCGGAUGACUUGUGGCUGGGGGUGAAAGGCCAAUCAAACCGGGAGAUAGCUGGUUCUCCCCGAAAGCUAUUUAGGUAGCGCCUCGUGAAUUCAUCUCCGGGGGUAGAGCACUGUUUCGGCAAGGGGGUCAUCCCGACUUACCAACCCGAUGCAAACUGCGAAUACCGGAGAAUGUUAUCACGGGAGACACACGGCGGGUGCUAACGUCCGUCGUGAAGAGGGAAACAACCCAGACCGCCAGCUAAGGUCCCAAAGUCAUGGUUAAGUGGGAAACGAUGUGGGAAGGCCCAGACAGCCAGGAUGUUGGCUUAGAAGCAGCCAUCAUUUAAAGAAAGCGUAAUAGCUCACUGGUCGAGUCGGCCUGCGCGGAAGAUGUAACGGGGCUAAACCAUGCACCGAAGCUGCGGCAGCGACGCUGAUGCGUUGUUGGGUAGGGGAGCGUUCUGUAAGCCUGCGAAGGUGUGCUGUGAGGCAUGCUGGAGGUAUCAGAAGUGCGAAUGCUGACAUAAGUAACGAUAAAGCGGGUGAAAAGCCCGCUCGCCGGAAGACCAAGGGUUCCUGUCCAACGUUAAUCGGGGCAGGGUGAGUCGACCCCUAAGGCGAGGCCGAAAGGCGUAGUCGAUGGGAAACAGGUUAAUAUUCCUGUACUUGGCGUUACUGCGAAGGGGGGACGGAGAAGGCUAUGUUGGCCGGGCGACGGUUGUCCCGGUUUAAGCGUGUAGGCUGGUUUUCCAGGCAAAUCCGGAAAAUCAAGGCUGAGGCGUGAUGACGAGGCACUACGGUGCUGAAGCAACAAAUGCCCUGCUUCCAGGAAAAGCCUCUAAGCAUCAGGUAACAUCAAAUCGUACCCCAAACCGACACAGGUGGUCAGGUAGAGAAUACCAAGGCGCUUGAGAGAACUCGGGUGAAGGAACUAGGCAAAAUGGUGCCGUAACUUCGGGAGAAGGCACGCUGAUAUGUAGGUGAGGUCCCUCGCGGAUGGAGCUGAAAUCAGUCGAAGAUACCAGCUGGCUGCAACUGUUUAUUAAAAACACAGCACUGUGCAAACACGAAAGUGGACGUAUACGGUGUGACGCCUGCCCGGUGCCGGAAGGUUAAUUGAUGGGGUUAGCGGUAACGCGAAGCUCUUGAUCGAAGCCCCGGUAAACGGCGGCCGUAACUAUAACGGUCCUAAGGUAGCGAAAUUCCUUGUCGGGUAAGUUCCGACCUGCACGAAUGGCGUAAUGAUGGCCAGGCUGUCUCCACCCGAGACUCAGUGAAAUUGAACUCGCUGUGAAGAUGCAGUGUACCCGCGGCAAGACGGAAAGACCCCGUGAACCUUUACUAUAGCUUGACACUGAACAUUGAGCCUUGAUGUGUAGGAUAGGUGGGAGGCUUUGAAGUGUGGACGCCAGUCUGCAUGGAGCCGACCUUGAAAUACCACCCUUUAAUGUUUGAUGUUCUAACGUUGACCCGUAAUCCGGGUUGCGGACAGUGUCUGGUGGGUAGUUUGACUGGGGCGGUCUCCUCCUAAAGAGUAACGGAGGAGCACGAAGGUUGGCUAAUCCUGGUCGGACAUCAGGAGGUUAGUGCAAUGGCAUAAGCCAGCUUGACUGCGAGCGUGACGGCGCGAGCAGGUGCGAAAGCAGGUCAUAGUGAUCCGGUGGUUCUGAAUGGAAGGGCCAUCGCUCAACGGAUAAAAGGUACUCCGGGGAUAACAGGCUGAUACCGCCCAAGAGUUCAUAUCGACGGCGGUGUUUGGCACCUCGAUGUCGGCUCAUCACAUCCUGGGGCUGAAGUAGGUCCCAAGGGUAUGGCUGUUCGCCAUUUAAAGUGGUACGCGAGCUGGGUUUAGAACGUCGUGAGACAGUUCGGUCCCUAUCUGCCGUGGGCGCUGGAGAACUGAGGGGGGCUGCUCCUAGUACGAGAGGACCGGAGUGGACGCAUCACUGGUGUUCGGGUUGUCAUGCCAAUGGCACUGCCCGGUAGCUAAAUGCGGAAGAGAUAAGUGCUGAAAGCAUCUAAGCACGAAACUUGCCCCGAGAUGAGUUCUCCCUGACUCCUUGAGAGUCCUGAAGGAACGUUGAAGACGACGACGUUGAUAGGCCGGGUGUGUAAGCGCAGCGAUGCGUUGAGCUAACCGGUACUAAUGAACCGUGAGGCUUAACCUUACAACGCCGAAGCUGUU